rnacentral:rRNA from 1 species
UACCAGCACCCCGAGUGGUCGGGACGAUUAUUGGACCUAAAGCAUCCGUAGCCGGUUCUGCAAGUCCCCCGUUAAAUCCAGCUGCUCAACAGAUGGGCCGCGGAGGAUACUACAGAGCUAGGAGGCAGGAGAGGCAAGCGGUACUCAGUGGGUAGGGGUAAAAUCCGUUGAUCCAUUGAAGACCACCAGUGGCGAAGGCGGCUUGCCAGAACGCGCUCGACGGUGAGGGAUGAAAGCUGGGGGAGCAAACCGG